AGUUUGAUCCUGGCUCAGAAUCAACGCUGGCGGCGUGCCUCAGACAUGCAAGUCGAACGCGAAAGUUCCCUUCGGGGAGCAAGUAGAGUGGCGUCCGGGUGAGUAACACGUAGGUAAUCUACCUUCGGGUGGGGAAUAACCCAGGGAAACUUGGGCUAACACCGCAUAAUGCAGCGGCACCACAUGGUGACAGUUGUUAAAGCGGGGGAUUUUCGAACCUCGCGCCUGAAGAGGAGCCUGCGGCGGAUUAGCUAGUUGGUAAGGUAACGGCUUACCAAGGCGACGAUCCGUAGCCGGCCUGAGAGGGCGGUCGGCCACACUGACACUGACAUACGGGUCAGACUCCUACGGGAGGCAGCAGUCGGGAAUUUUGGGCAAUGGGCGAAAGCCUGACCCAGCAACGCCGCGUGAAGGAUGAAAUCCCUCGGGAUGUAAACUUCGCAAGAAUGGGAAGAAUGAGCGAGCGCUAAUACCGUUCGCGAUGACGGUACCAUUUGUAAGCUCCGGCUAACUCCGUGCCAGCAGCCGCGGUAAUACGGGGGGAGCAAGCGUUGUUCGGAUUUACUGGGCGUAAAGGGCGCGUAGGCGGCCAGCGCAAGUCAGUUGUGAAAUCUCCGGGCUUAACUCGGAAAGGUCAACUGAUACUGCGCGGCUAGAGUGCAGAAGGGGCAACUGGAAUUCUCGGUGUAGCGGUGAAAUGCGUAGAUAUCGAGAGGAACACCUGCGGCGAAGGCGGGUUGCUGGGCUGACACUGACGCUGAGGCGCGAAAGCCAGGGGAGCGAACGGGAUUAGAUACCCCGGUAGUCCUGGCCUUAAACGAUGGAUGCUUGGUGUCUGGGGUUUUAUAGUCCCCGGGUGCCGCAGCUAACGCGUUAAG
rnacentral:rRNA from 1 species